ensembl:lncRNA
CAAUUGUUCAUUUCUGUCAUAAAUAAAGCAGGUAAAAAGAAAUUCAGGUCACAUUUGUUGUGUCCAGGUGACCCCCAGCUGCCCUCACCUGCUUCCCCAGACAGCUGCCGUCCUUGAGCAGGUCGUACACUCUGUGAGCUUUCUCUCUCUGCUUUGCGGCCUGUGGAUCCUGGCCAGGCAGCGCAAAGUACGGCAGAAUGUUGACCAUGAUUUUGGGGAAGCAGUUGGCUAACAAAAGCCUCCAGUCCUUCUCCAGGCACCUGCCGAUGGACUUCACCUGCUCAAAGUCGUCUAAGAAGACCAAGCGGGGGAUCAGCACCUGGAAGAAGGCAAGAUGAGAGGAACCACUGCACCUUUGCUUUAAAGAAGAGCCGGGAGCAGCAGGCCUCGUCCUGAGUCACACAUCCCGUAGAGACGUAGCCCGCCAGAACACCGAUCAGCAGAGCACAACAGCGCACCAAGCACUCCGGAGGAACGGACGGAGACUGCCGGGUUCAAAAUAGGAGUUUCUGACCAAACCAGCAGACAGAAUAAAUAAAUAAAGCCUCUACUCACAUCAGGAGAAUAACAGUUGAGCAGGCUGUCCGCCACAGAAAGCACAAGCUGUUCCAGCUUGUUUCGGAGGCUGAGGACGGCGGGAAACUGACAGUCGGCUGACGGCGCCGGCUCGUUGGCACGUGCUGGGAUCUCUGACGCAUUAAAGCUAAAGUGCAGACCCAGAGAAGAGUUUCCAGAACUCUCGGUCUACAUUCACCAGCCCGCCGUGCACAAUGGAGGCCAGCAGAUCCAGGCUGAGAGACUCUGUGUGGGGUGAGCCGACACCUCGCACACCGAGGGCCCAAAUCCGAGCCCAGAGCCGGUCAAGCUCCGCCUUGUGGGCCUGGGCUUUGUGCGGGCAGCAGGCCUGGCAGAGUGCCACCUCCCUCAGGCAGCGCAGCACAUACAGGCUCCUCUCACCUCUGCGCUGCUCUGCUAGGAGCUGGUGCAACGCCGACAGCAGUGGAACCAGCUCCCGCCUGGGCACCGUAGACGAGUACUUACAGGGAUGAUGUCAAAGUCAUCGGAUUGAGGCUGCAGACGUUCACGGAGCACUUCCCAGCCCAUUUCAAUGCGCCGACGUUUACUGGCUGCACCGUGGGAGGGACUUCCCAUCUGCGUGGCCCUGUGGGGGGCCUGCGUGACCUCCAACGUAUGGCUCCCACUGUCAUCAGUGAACAGCUACAGCAAACCAGCAGCAAAGGAUUAUUGAAACAAAACAAAAAAAGAGGAUAGACAAAACUUGCUUUAAGACCCACUAUGAUAAAAAUGUUGUUUGUGGUGUUUUUUUACAUGACGGAGGAGGUGUAGACUGAAAAUUAAGCUUAAAUAGCAUUUUCUGAGUAUUUCUUUAUUAAAAUAGUUGUGGAACAGGAGCAGAAGAAAACACUCUGUUAGAGUGACGUGGAAAAUACGCCGGGCGCCGUAUCUGAUGGAUCCUUGUGUAGACAAAUAGAUCAAUGUAAGUCUUCUUGCUCGUCUGAGCUUGAAUCUGGAUCAAAACUGUACGGCUGGAAAAUUACAAUAUUGGUCGAAAUUUUGUGUUGCAGUGGCAAUGUUAGGCCUUGGGUGUGAGGGGCUGUAAGCAUAAGCAGAGAGCUCUCAGUAACAGGGAAGGGGAGCAGGCUCCACGCCAACCGUCCCGCCCACAGCUCAGACGUGAAUUUCUAAUGAACUACUGCUGCUCUGCAGAAACUAUGUCCUAGAAAACAACACAGGCUUUUUUUUAGGUUUGGGUCAAAACAACAAUGCUUUUCCAACAGACGGGACUUCAUGAUUGAUCUGGAAAUGAGAGCAGCAACUGCUUACCUGGUGACAGAUGUCAGCCGUGAGCUCGAUCAGAUUGUCUUUGACAGCUACGUGUCGGCUCCCUGUGGCGUACUUCCCUCUGCUGCCUAUCUGGCUGAUUUCUCUGACUAAGGAGUCGUACAGGCUGUACAGCAGACCACGCCACUUCGUCCAGUCUUCAGCGUGAGCACCUACAGCAACAAGAACCCAACAAACACUGGCUUUGUGCCCUUUGGUUCUUUGCAGUUGGAGCCAACAUACUUGAUUAAAUGUGUUUACAAAACAUGUCUUACUAUUUCUACAUUCUCUUCUAAUUCAAAACAUCAGUUUUCCUUGUAGUUUUAAUUUUGGGGAAUAAAUGGGAAACAUUGCUCCACCUGUGUCGUGUGUUUUGGCUCCUUUAGGGUGGUGAACACAGAUCUGGAGGUUCAAAAAGUCCACAAUCUCCUCUUUGAGUGGUGCACUUGGCCUCAUAUCUGCCCACACAUACAGCACAGAGGGCAGCAGCUCCUCCCCCAGGCCACACGCUCUCAUCCUGCAGUUGACGGCCGCCGACCUCAGGAAGACGUUCAGAGCUGAGACUAAAUGCUCCAAGACCGGAAGGUGUUUCUCCUGCCUGCAGUUGUGUGAGGAAACUUUAGAAACUUUACCACAGCACAGCUGAAGAACAUUGCAUUUGACAUUUCACCUGGCAUUAAGCAGAGCUUUGGUGAAAAAGCCGAACAGAGCGUCAGUGAAGGCGUCGGUCUGCGUGCAGCAGCCCCGCACCAACGUGUGGAUGACUCUGCUGAGCAACACACGGUUGAUGGAUCUGGAGGAAGAGUUAAAAAAGCCACAGUACAAAUCCAACAGACCUAUGAGGAAAAACGAAGAACAAGAAAAUGAUAUGUAGAAUUCUGGAGAAUAGAGCCGACAAAGCAAAACUUUCCAGAAAUGGAGUUAAAAAUGCUUCCGCACUCUGCCACUGCUUCUGAGAGAUGUCACACCAGUACUUGCGGACGGUGAGGAUGUCCUUUAAAAGGAUGCUGCUGUAAUUUUCUCCGUACGCUGUGCAGCAGUGGGAGCUCUGCAGAACCUCCGUCACGUGUUUCAGCAGCUCGCCGCAAUUCAGACGAGGCCCGCCUGCAAAAAAAACACAUAAGUAAAACCAAAUUCUGACUAGCGUCUACUCAAAAACUUUAUUUAAGCCCCACUCCGAUCAUCUUUUGAUCUAUUUUUAAAGCGUUCCCAGUGGUCUUUUAAUUAUGACUAAGCCGUUUUCAACCAAAAUCAAUGUUGUUUUCUAGGUUAUACUUUCUGUACUUUAAAGCUUAAUUUUCUUUAUGCAUGUCCUCCAUCAUGAGAAUAUGUUUAAACCCCAAUUUUCAUUAAAGUUAUUCUUUAAGCAGUAGGGAACAAAAGAUGUGUGUCUACAAUCAUUAUUGAAACAUUUUUUUAUUAUUAUGCCAAACAACAGCUUGGACUGCAGAGUGUGGCCCUUACGUUUGUUUGCAUAACGAAUAAAGUACUUAAUCAAGCUGCACACUUCAGCCAUCUUCUUCUGCCGUAUAGCCAGCGUGGUUGCCGUCACAUUGGAUCUACUUGAUUGAAUACUUUCCAUCUCCUUCUGGACAUAAUGCUGCAGGAACCUGGUCCAGGAAAAAUGCAGUGAUACACAUUAGAAGAACAGAAUCUUAGAAGAAUUUUAUAGAUUAAGUAAGGGUUAAUGGCCUUCAAAGUGUGCGUUAUUACUUUUUAACGCACGCCUUGGAAGCCUGAACCGUCCGACGCGAAGUGCGUUAAAAAGUGAUAAUGCACACUUCGAAGCCCAUUAACCCCAUGGUCACUUACAAAAGCAAUACAUAUUAACUAGUUUUUAGUCCUUAAUUCUUGAUUUUUUUUCCAAUUUGGAUCGCCUUUCUCGCAAAAAGCGGACUAUUUGUUACGUGAUGCGGAGCAUCGCUUUUUUCACACCACUGCUGCAGUCAAGAUUUGGCGAUAUAUAUAUGCUGAUCUUUCCGAUGGGUUGAAUAAAGCAUCAGUUCAUCUCUUACUGCUUGUUUUUGUCCAAAUGAUGAAGUAAAAUGUUGUUAUAAAGAAGCCGGCGCAGUGAUACAAAACAUUUAAGUUAGGUGACCGGAACUUCUUUCUUCACCAUGCGGUUAUCAGGUUUUAAUGCAUACCCAGCAGCCAAUCAGAAUCGAAUAUUCCCCCAGACCAUGGUAUAACCCGUGUUUAAACAUGGAGUUCACCUAAAAUGCGGGUUGAACCUGUGCACAAAAAAAUGUCACCAAAACCUUUUCUUCCAUAGUGGAGACUACCUGAAGACAUUGUCCCAUGUGAGCUGCCUGGAGCCUUUGGCUUUGGCCAAUGAGGCACAAUCCAGUUCUUGCAAAACUUCAGGAGAUCGAAGGAGCCGUCUGAAGUUUUCAGCUUCUUUCUGAUGGCACAAAACAAUGUCACUUAAGUAAGGGAUAAUGCCCCACAAGGUGUCCCUUAUCAGAAAAUA